CAAAAAAUAAAAAUUGAAAAUAUAAAAAAAAAGUAAAAAAGAAAUAAUUUUGAGGGCGGUUUGCGCGGGGAAUGGGGAGGGGGGGUAGGGUGGGUGAUGCAGAAAAAUAAAAGAACAGAAAAUUAAAAAUAUAAAAAAAUAAAAUAAAAUUAGGGCAACUAAGUAAAUUUUUAGAUAAGUUGGGUUAAAAUCCCUUUGUUUUGGGUGAAUUUCAUGGGUUAUAUUUGAACUGCUUAAUGGGUCAGAAUAGGCUAUAAAAAAUAAUGGAUUAGCUUGGGCUCAGCCCAAAUUGACCCAUGAGCUAAAAUAUUUAUAGCUCAACCCAUUACUCUCUUGGCGGGUUGGCAGGCUGGAUGAGUUUAAACUCAAAUUGCCACCCCUAGGUUUCAGUUUACCUACAUUCUCAAUUUGCUUAGUGAUAAAGAAACACAACAUCAUUCAGACAAGCAAUUAAAAUUAGUACACAAUAGCCAAAUAAUGAAAAUAUAACAGAAGAUAAUUCCGACUUCUAGGGAAAAAAAAAAGGAAAGAAAAAUAAGAGAAACUUGUGCAGGUGUUCAACCGGAGGAAUAUUUACUCUAUUCAUUUCUUAUUAUGAAAUUAAUAAAAAGGAUGUCGCUUUGUCAUACAGUUUAUAGAGAAUCAAACUCCUUUUCUAUAGAAUGGUUAGUCCAAUGUACUAUGGGCUUAUAGACUUUUCCACAAAAGAAGCGAAUGUCCUCUGUUCAAGUCAUCUGCUUGUAGUGACAAUGCUCAUCUGAUACAAUGGAGAGAUCUCUGUCAUAAAAGAGAGCUCAGGAAACAAGGAUUCUUCAUUUGCUGUCAUCCAAAAUGCCCACAAGACACUUCUCCAAUAGAAAUUCAGCAUUAACCCAGGCAUGGUAUUUGUCUGAACAAAGUGUUAAAGAAUGCAAGUUUUGAUGAAACAAAGAAAAAUUCAAAUUCUAAGCAAGGAAUACUAGUGUUGCAAACUCCAACAUUAGAAAGUUCUUUGCCCUGCCAUUCAUCAGAUCCAUUUAAGAAAAUAUAUCCUUAUUGCCUUUGAAAAGGCUCAUAAUUUUACGUCAAAUAUCAUCCUAUCACAAUUGUUAAUCCGAGCAUCUUGACUAAUCCACCAGGCAGUCUAUCCAACCCACAAGCACAGGUCACCAAGUUAAUCAUGCCGACUAAAGUUGGACCACAUGGGCUCACACCAAUAGUUGUAACUAUGAUUCAAACCUGGAAUCUGAAGGUGGUUACUCCCUUGCUUCAACCACUAGACCAUUGACCAUCCCCUUGGAGACAACGACCAUUAUUAAUAUUUCCUAUAUGCUCUGUGUGUGUGUGUCUGUUGAGGCAGGGAGGAGGGGAAUCAGGGCAGGGUGAGGAGGGUCAGGAUAACUUUAGCAGAUGCAGAAUAAUGUACACAUGGUACACAUAAAGCCUGAUGUUAGUAUUGCUGAUGGAAGAGGAGCUCCAUCAGCAAUGGCAGAAGAGGAUCCACUUUUCAUGUACUUUUUGUGCAACCAAUCCGAUAAUUAGUAAUCUUUAACAGAUUCGAUAUGGAGAUCCCAUUAAACUUUAGUUGAAUCUAGUACGGCUAUAUGAGUUUUACAAACUAGGAAAAUAACAAGAGCUAGCAGAGGAUACUAAACAAUGCCGUGCAAUCUUUUCCUACGGCCUUCAACAGCAUGUCAACACCUGAAAAAGAGAAGGUAAACAAACUAGUCCAAGUAAAUAAAAUUCAUAACUUAAUAUCAAAAUAAAGUUUUCCUUGGUUAUUACUAAAGGAAUCUAUUGAAUGCAUGAACAAGUGAACAGUAAUCGUGAGGAAUGGGACAAAAACAACAGCACAGAGGAUAGACAAGUAUCUUGGAGUGCAAACAAAUUACAAGAGGUAGAACGCGGGAAAGGAAUAAUGAACUACUUAUAUAUACUUCUGACAAAGCAUCAGUGAAAAGUAGAAAGUGAAAAUGUCACCAGUUGAUUUCAAAGUUAACUUCAGCAACAGCUCCUUGAAAUCAGAACAUUUCCAUCUUUUACAAAUUCCAUGACAGUUUAUCAGCUAUCACUUGCAAAAAUAGGUCAAAAUAAUGAAGGAAAUUAAAAGAAUUUUCAUGUCAAAUAUAAAAGAACUAUUGACUUAGAAAGAGUUUAAAGUUCUUGACCAUUCUGGAAUCUUUACCAGCUGCCUGGCAUAUCACCAAAUCCAUAAACAUUCCUUUUUUGCUAUACAUAAAUAGGAAUUGAACUACAAAGAAUCAUGAGGAUUCCAGCUAAAAAAAAGUCUAAUUUCGAGGCUUUAGAAGGAAUUCUAUUUAAGAGGCUCACUUGAGCCUCCAAAGUCCACAAUCUGCCCCCACCGCCGGAAAAUUCCCAGAAAAGAAAAUAGAAGAAAAAGACUGCGUUAACAGACAAUGGAUUCCGAGUUGAGAGCACAUGGAAAUCAGGAGACAAUUAGGUCAAAAAAGAUUAUCCAGUGGUUCUCUAAUAAUGUUUUCAGAAGGGAUUCCCAAGGCAAGGAAGAUGGCAGAGGAUGUAUACUUCUUCGCAGGGGUGGCAAACGAGCAAGUUGGGCUGAAUUUAAGCGGGUCAAGAUGGGUUAGGUCAAUAAAUGGGUCAUUACCCAACCCAGCCCAAAGUGUACUUGAGCUAAGAUGGACUAAACAAUGGGUCAUAGCCCAACCCGCCCAACUUGACCCAUGUUUUAGAACCAUGCUCAUCUUGCAUAAAAAGGCCUUUUACCUUAAAAUGUGUAAGUUGAAAAAUAUUUUGCGGGUGGGGGUGAGAUUGAGGAGGGUGGGUGGUACAGAAAAAUGAAAAAACAGAAGAUUGAAAAUGCACAAAAAAAAGAAGAAGUAAAAUUAGGACAACUAAGUAAAUUUCUAGAUAAAUUGGAUUGAGAUCCCUUUGUUUCGGGUGAGUCUCAUGGGUUGUAUUUGGGCUGCUUAAUGGGUCAGAAUGGGCUAUAAAAAAUAAUGGGUUAACUUGAGCUUAGCCCAAAUAGACCAUAGACUAAAAUGUAUGUAGCCCAACCCAUUAAUCUCUGGGGAGGGGGGAGGGUUAGGGUGUAGAGUGCGUGGGUAGGUGGUGCAGAAAAACCAAAAAACAGAAAAUUGAAAAUACAAAAAAAAGGGGGUAGGGGUUAAAGUGGUGGUGUAGAAAAACGAAAAAACAGAAAAUUGAAAAUACAAAAAAAAAGUAAAAUUUUUUUGGGUGGGUGGGGGGUGGGGGGGGUUGGUGUUUGGUGCAGAAAAACAAAAAACAGAAAAUUGAAAAUUAAAAAAGAAAAAAAAAGAAAGUAAAAUUGGGGCAACUAAAUAAAUUUCUAGAUAAGUUGGGUUUGAGAUCCCUUUGUUUUGGGUGAGUUUCAUGGGUUGUAUUUGGGCUGCUUAAUGGGUCAGAAUGAACUAUAAAACAUAAAU
rnacentral:lncRNA from 1 species